rnacentral:rRNA from 1 species
GGGUCAGUAGGUUGGUCGUGCCACCGGUACGUACUGGUCUCACUGACUCCUCCUUCCUGUAGAUCCGUAAUGCCAUUAAUUUGGUGUUGCGGGGAAACAGGACUGUUACUUUGAAAAAAUUAGAGUGUUUAAAGCAAGCUAACGCUUGAAUACAUUAGCAUGGAAUAAUGAAAUAGGACGAUCGAUCCUAUUUUGUUGGUUUCUAGGAUUGACGUA